ACUGCUGUCUGCUGCUUGGCAGACAUCUGGCCAAGAUAUCAUACCAUCCACCAUCCCCUCCUCCUCCUGCCAACAGACCUUGUAUGUACAGAACACAAAGAAUCUGAACAUCUUUAUCAACCCUGAUGAUCACCAUGGCAACAGUGGCAACAUCAACAUGGUUCAUGAGGGCAAUUAAGAAUGAGGAGUUACAGCACUAGCACAUUGUGAGAGUUAGAUGAGCUGAAUGCAGGCGCUUCCGGAUCAUAAUUGCUGAACUUAAACAAUCUGACGGCAUGAAGCACGUCAUCACAGCCGCACCACUCCCACA